ensembl:snoRNA
AUCCUUUUGUAGUUCAUAAGCGUGAUGAUUGGGUUUUCACGCGCAUGCGUGAGAUGUGCCUCCCUCAAACCUUGUUACGACAUCGGCACAUUACCCGUCUGACG